AUUGAACGCUGGCGGCAGGCCUAACACAUGCAAGUCGAACGGUAACAGGAAGCAGCUUGCUGCUUUGCUGACGAGUGGCGGGCGGGUGAGUAAUGUCUGGGAAACUGCCCGAUGGAGGGGGAUAACUACUGGAAACGGUAGCUAAUACCGCAUAACGUCGCAAGACCAAAGAGGGGGACAUUAGGGCCUCUUGCCAUCGGAUGUGCCCAGGUGGGAUUAGCUAGUAGGUGGGGUAACGGCUCACCUAGGCGACGAUCCCUAGCUGGUCUGAGAGGAUGACCAGCCACACUGGAACUGAGACACGGUCCAGACUCCUACGGGAGGCAGCAGUGGGGAAUAUUGCACAAAGGGCGCAAGCCUGAUGCAGCCAUGCCGCGUGUAUGAAGAAGGCCUUCGGGUUGUAAAGUACUUUCAGCGGGGAGGAAGGGAGUAAAGUUAAUACCUUUGCUCAUUGACGGUACCCGCAGAAGAAGCACCGGCUAACUCCGUG
rnacentral:rRNA from 1 species